rnacentral:rRNA from 1 species
UACGUAGGGUGCGAGCGUUAAUCGGAAUUACUGGGCGUAAAGCGUGCGCAGGCGGUUCGUUGUGUCGGCGGUGAAAGCCCCGGGCUUAACCUGGGAAUGGCCGUUGAAACUGGCGAACUGGAGUGUGGCAGAGGGGGGUGGAAUUCCGCGUGUAGCAGUGAAAUGCGUAGAGAUGCGGAGGAACACCGAUGGCGAAGGCAGCCCCCUGGGCUAACACUGACGCUCAGGCACGAAAGCGUGGGGAGCAAACGGG